rnacentral:rRNA from 1 species
UCAUACGCUCGUCUCAAAGAUUAAGCCAUGCAUGUGUAAGUAUAAAUAUUUAACUUUGAAACUGCGAAUGGCUCAUUAUAUCAGUUAUAGUUUAUUUGAUGAAAAGUACUACUUGGAUAACCGUAGUAAUUCUAGAGCUAAUACAUGAUAAAAUCCUCGACUUUGAAGAGGUGUAUUUAUUANAAUGAAACCAAUAGACUUCGGUCUGUUUGUGAGUAAUAAUAACUAAUCGUAUCGCAUGCUUANGUAGCGAUAUGUCUUUCANGUUUCUGCCCUAUCAGCUUUGGAUGGUAGUGUAUUGGACUACCAUGGCAGUAACGGGUAACGAAGAAUUUGGGUUCGAUUUCGGAGAGGGAGCCUGAGAGAUGGCUACCACAUCCNAGGAAGGCAGCAGGCGCGUAAAUUACCCAAUCCUGACAUAGGGAGGUAGUGACAAUAAAUCACAAUGCGGAACUAUUAGUUUUGCAAUUGGAUUGAGAACAAUGUACAAAUGUUAUCGAUAAACAAUUGGAGGGCAAGUCUGGUGCCAGCAGCCGCGGUAAUUCCAGCUCCAAUAGCGUAUAUUAACG